GGAGAAUUAUGCAACCUGCUACACUGAAAAAAUGUUCAGGAAUGGUUUGAGGAACAUGACAAAUAGUUCAAGGUGUUUCCUUGGCCUCCAAGUUACCCAAAACUCUAUCUAGAAUAGCUUGUUUUAACCCACCCACUGGGGGUUCUCCCAAAUUGACAUUCCCAAACGUAAUACAAAUGCAGUAUAUCCUACCUUGUAAACAAAUGUGCUGGGACAAAC